UGCGCAGGCGGCUCAUCGCGCUCGGCGUGAAAGCCCCCGGCUCAACCGGGGAGGGUCGUCGAGGACGGGUGAGCUUGAGGGUAUCAGGGGUUGGUGGAAUUCCCGGUGUAGUGGUGAAAUGCGUAGAGAUCGGGAGGAACACCCGUGGCGAAGGCGGCCAACUGGGAUACACCUGACGCUGAGGCACGAAGGCGUGGGGAGCGAACG
rnacentral:rRNA from 1 species